rnacentral:rRNA from 1 species
UUAUUUGAAAUAGGAUACAACCUCCAACACUGGGUAAAGUGUAGUGAUCCAAACAAAGUGGGCCUAAAAGCAGCCACCUUUCAAAAAGCGUCAUAGCUUAACCUCCUCACACUCCAAUUCGUAAAAUCACCCUCAACCCUUAAUUAGUACUGAACUAUUUUAUAUUUUUAUAAAAAUAAUUAUGCUAGAACUAGUAACAAGAAAUUGCCCUUCUCCCAAUGCAAGUAUAAAUCAAAACGACACCCCAAUGAUAAUUAACGUAAAUGCAAAAAAUAUAGUAACAUAUAUCUAGAAAACUCUAUAAUUUCAAACGUUAACCUUACACCAGAGCAUUACAGGAAAGAUUUAAAGAGAAAGAAGGAACUCGGCAAACUUCAGCCCCGCCUGUUUACCAAAAACAUCGCCUCUUGAUUCCCAUAAGAGGUCUAGCCUGCCCAGUGACAAAGUUCAACGGCCGCGGUAACCUAACCGUGCAAAGGUAGCAUAAUCACUUGUUCUCUAAAUAGGGACUCGUAUCAAUGGCAUCACGAGGGCUUCACUGUCUCCUUUCUCCAAUCAGUGAAACUGAUCUCCCCGUGAAGAAGCGGGGAUUUUAAU